rnacentral:rRNA from 1 species
GGAGCGUAGGCGGCGUGGUAAGUCAGAUGUGAAAUCCCGGGGCUCAACCCCGGAACUGCAUCCAAUACUGCCAUGCUAGAGGAUUGGAGAGGUAGCUGGAAUUCUUGGUGUAGCAGUGAAAUGCGUAGAGAUCAAGAGGAACACUCGUGGCGAAAGCGAGCUACUGGACAAUUCCUGACGCUGAGGCUCGAAGGCUAGGGUAGCGAAAGGGAUUAGAUACCCCUGUAGUCCUAGCAGUAAACGGUGCACGCUUGGUGUGAGGGGAAUCGACCCCCCUUGUGCCGGAGCUAACGCGUUAAGCGUGCCGCCUGGGAAGUACGGUCGCAAGACUAAAACUCAAAGAAAUUGACGGGGACCCGCACAAGCGGUGGAGUAUGUGGCUUAAUUCGAUGCAACGCGAAGAACCUUACCAAGGCUUGACAUGCAUCUCUAAACACGUGAAAGCGUGUGACCCUUCGGGGAAUUUGCACAGGUGCUGCAUGGCCGUCGUCAGCUCGUGUCGUGAGAUGUUGGGUUAAGUCCCGCAACGAGCGCAACCCUUGUGAUUAGUUGCCAGCACGUAAUGGUGGGAACUCUAGUCAGACUGCCCAGAUCAACUGGGAGGAAGGUGGGGACGACGUCAGGUCAGUAUGGCCCUUACGCCUUGGGCUGCACACGUACUACAAUGCCCAGCACAAUGAGAACCGAUACCGCGAGGUGGAGGAAAUCUGUAAAACUGGGCUCAGUUCGGAUUGGAGGCUGCAACUCGCCUCCAUGAAGUUGGAAUCGCUAGUAAUGGGGCAUCAUCUACGGCCCCGUGAAUACGUUCCCGGGUCUUGUACACACCGCCCGUCACAUCAUGGAAGCCGGUCGCACCCGAAGUGCUCGUACCAACCGCAAGGGGGUAGA